ensembl:lncRNA
GUUUCAUGGGGCGGUGCGGGUGUGGUGGGGGAACGGCAAACAUUACUUCACUUAACUGCAAUGAACCAUCUCCAAGGUUAUAUGGGGAGAACUGCCAGUUUAAGGCAGGCUUCAGUGAACUCCUGAAUAUUUACAAGCUGCGAGCCUGGACAGGUGUAACUGCUCUCCAGGGAUGCAGCUGUGAAAGAGGCGAGGACUCAGCUCACUCCAGAGCCGACGGAACUCAGAGAAGCAGAGUCGCCGGACCAAGCACUGCCCAAGAAGAGGGAUGGGGACCAGGCGGUGCCGGGCUACGGUGGUCCUCCGGGUGCCAUAAAUGCUAAAAUCACCCAUCUCCUGUAAUCCUGCAUCUGUGCUCUCAAGAGUGAGAUGGUUAAGUUCACCGCUUUGUGGAGCUGGCUGCGGAUGGCUUCUGUGUGGUCCUCUGUCCCGGGAGAAGAUAGAGCGCAGGCUGAUGGGAAGGCUCAGCCGGUGAAGACACUCGCUUCCACACCUGUGGCCUGAGUGCAAUCCUGGUGAGCUUCAUGGUGGAAGCAGAGAACUGAGGCCAUAAGGAGUCCUCUGACUGCUACAUCUGUGCCUCGCACACUCUCCCAGUAACUAAAACUGUCAUUAAAACCUUAAAAGGGGCUGGAGGGAUGGCUCAGCGGUUAAGAGCACUGCCCGCUCUUCCAGAGGUCAUGAGUUCAAAUCCCAGCAACCACACGGUGGCUCACAACCAUCUGUAAUGGGAUCGGAUGCCCUCUUCUAGUGUGUCUGAAGACAGCGACGGUGUACCCACAUACAUAAAAUAAAUAA